GAAUUACCAACUAGUGGACACCUAGGACCCUGACAGCCAGCCACAGCUAACUAAGAGGGGAGGGAAGGUAGUGUGAGAGGAUAGGUUUGCUGAAUGUGUAUAGACAAAGUGAGUGUGAACGAGGAAACACUGCAGAGCCAACCGCAACUGAAAGCAGAGGAAGCACCGCAGUGUCCAGGUGGACGGCUGAAAGGAGCGAGCCCGGCAGUAGGUAACAGAACAGAGUUGGUGUAAACCCC